GACGAACGCUGGCGGCGCGCUUAACACAUGCAAGUCGAACGGAAAGGCCUGCUUUCCCUUGUGGAUUGCGGGUACUCGAGUGGCGAACGGGUGAGUAACACGUGAGUGAUCUGCCCCCAACUUGGGUAUAAGCCUGGGAAACUGGGUCUAAUUCCCGAUAGGACUGCAGGGUGGUGCCUGUGGUGGAAAACGAUUUUCUAGUGGUUGGGGAUGAGCUCGCGGCCUAUCAGCUUGUUGGUGGGGUAAUGGCCUACCAAGGCGGCGACGGGUAGCCGGCCUGGGAGGGUGGACGGCCACAUUGGGACUGGGAUACGGCCCAGACUCCUACGGGAGGCAGCAGUGGGGAAUAUUGCACAAGGGGCGGAAGCCUGAUGCAGCGACGCCGCGGGGGGGAUGACGGCCUUCGGGUUGUAAACUCCUUUCGACCGCGAGGAAGCCACCUGGUUGGAAGGGUGGUGACGGUAGUGGUAGAAGAAGCACCGGCUAACUACGUG
rnacentral:rRNA from 1 species